AACGAACGCUGGCGGCAGGCCUAACACAUGCAAGUCGAGCGAACCCUUCGGGGUUAGCGGCGGACGGGUUAGUAACGCGUGGGAAUAUACCCUUUGGUACGGAAUAGCCUCGGGAAACUGAGAGUAAUACCGUAUGUGCCCUUCGGGGAAAGAUUUAUCGCCAAAGGAUUAGCCCGCGUUGGAUUAGAUAGUUGGUGGGGUAAUGGCCUACCAAGUCUACGAUCCAUAGCUGGUUUGAGAGGAUGAUCAGCAACACUGGGACUGAGACACGGCCCAGACUCCUACGGGAGGCAGCAGUGGGGAAUCUUAGACAAUGGGCGCAAGCCUGAUCUAGCCAUGCCGCGUGGACGAUGAAGGCCUUAGGGUUGUAAAGUCCUUUCAGAUGGGAAGAUAAUGACGGUACCAUCAGAAGAAGCCCCGGCUAACUCCGUGCCAGCAGCCGCGGUAAAGUAGACGUUCU
rnacentral:rRNA from 1 species